rnacentral:rRNA from 1 species
AUUGAACGCUGGCGGCAUGCCUUACACAUGCAAGUCGAACGGUAACGCGGGGCAACCUGGCGACGAGUGGCGAACGGGUGAGUAAAGCAUCGGAACGUGCCCAGUAGUGGGGGAUAGCCCGGCGAAAGCCGGAUUAAUACCGCAUACGACCUGAGGGUGAAAGCGGGGGACCGAAAGGCCUCGCGCUAUUGGAGCGGCCGAUGUCAGAUUAGGUAGUUGGUGGGGUAAAGGCCUACCAAGCCUGCGAUCUGUAGCUGGUCUGAGAGGACGACCAGCCACACUGGGACUGAGACACGGCCCAGACUCCUACGGGAGGCAGCAGUGGGGGAUUUUGGACAAUGGGCGCAAGCCUGAUCCAGCCAUGCCGCGUGCGGGAAGAAGGCCUUCGGGUUGUAAACCGCUUUUGUCGGGGAAGAAACGCUCUGGGCUAAUACCCUGGGGUAAUGACGGUACCCGAAGAAUAAGCACCGGCUAACUACGUGCCAGCAGCCGCGGUAAAAC